GGAAACCCUAGGGGGAGGUCG
rnacentral:miRNA from 1 species